AUGCUGCUAUUUUGUUCCCUUCUUCUAUGCUCCUCUUUCUUGGAGCAAUCCAUUGCAUAUGAAGAUUCAACUUAUUGCACCAACAAGUGUUCAGACAGGUGCUCUAAAGCAGGGGUUCAAGAUAGGUGUGUGAAAUACUGUGGAAUAUGUUGUGAAGAGUGCAAAUGUGUUCCUUCAGGGACUUAUGGGAACAAGCAUGAAUGCCCUUGCUACAGAGACAAGGUUAACAAAAAGGGCAAGCCCAAGUGUCCUUGA